rnacentral:rRNA from 1 species
GUGGCGAACGGGUGAGUAACACGUGAGUAACCUGCCCUUGACUCUGGGAUAAGCCUGGGAAACUGGGUCUAAUACCGGAUAGGAACGUCCACCGCAUGGUGGGUGUUGGAAAGAUUUAUCGGUCAUGGAUGGACUCGCGGCCUAUCAGCUUGUUGGUGAGGUAAUGGCUCACCAAGGCGACGACGGGUAGCCGGCCUGAGAGGGUGACCGGCCACACUGGGACUGAGACACGGCCCAGACUCCUACGGGAGGCAGCAGUGGGGAAUAUUGCACAAUGGGCGAAAGCCUGAUGCAGCGACGCCGCGUGAGGGAUGACGGCCUUCGGGUUGUAAACCUCUUUCAGUAGGGAAGAAGCGAAAGUGACGGUACCUGCAGAAGAAGCACCGGCUAACUACGUGCCAGCAGCCGCGGUAAUACGUAGGGUGCGAGCGUUAUCCGGAAUUAUUGGGCGUAAAGAGCUCGUAGGCGGUUUGUCGCGUCUGUCGUGAAAGUCCGGGGCUUAACCCCGGAUCUGCGGUGGGUACGGGCAGACUAGAGUGCAGUAGGGGAGACUGGAAUUCCUGGUGUAGCGGUGGAAU